UACGAAAGGGGCUAGCGUUUUUCGGAAUUACUGGGCGUAAAGCGCACGUAGGCGGCCUUGUAAGUUGGGGGUGAAAUCCCGGAGCUCAACUCCGGAACUGCCUUCAAGACUGCAAAGCUCGAGGACGCGAGAGGUUAGCGGAAUUCCGAGUGUAGAGGUGAAAUUCGUAGAUAUUCGGGAGAACACCAGUGGCGAAGGCGGCUAACUGGCGCGUUUCUGACGCUGAGGUGCGAAAGCGUGGGGAGCAAACAGG
rnacentral:rRNA from 1 species